AAACAAGAUUUAUAAUUUUUUAUUUUUUUACAAAUUUAAGGAAAUUAAAAGGGAUAUAUGAGGAGUAGGGAGUCUGUCCACGUCCUCAAUUAAAUCAACCAAUGAGGUUGCUUAGUUUUUCCACGUCAAACCGACGAAGAAACAUGUUGAACAAAAGCCCUGGUCCGAUAAAGUCGGAGAAUGUCGUGAAUCUUUGACGUCUCUCUUCUCUUCGCUCUUUGGAAACCCUAAAUGAAUCUCUUCGACAACUCCUUCCUUCGCCGUUUCCCCUUCCUCAACAGAUCGAUCAAUCGACACCGUAUUCAUUAGUGAGCAAUGAAUCCUCUGAGUUUCUCAUUAAUGGAUUACUUUCGCUUUAUCAUCUCUACCUCUCUUUAUAAGUCUCUUCUUUACACAGAAUUGUUACAGAAAAAAAAAAAACACUCAAAUGAUGAAUUCCAGCAGAAAAUUCCAAAACGAUCUUACCGCGAAUAAACCAGACGGAAAAGACGUUGUCUCCUCAGAAGUCUCCGGCGAUCCUAAGUCGAAGAAACCAAACGGCAAAUCCGUUGACUCCUCCGCCGAGCCGCUAUGUUCAAUGAUAAAAAAAGGAAGAGGUCGUCUCAACUGGAGAUCUUCCCACACUCAUCUCAGACUCCAACGAGCAGGUAACUCAUGAUUUCACUAUACUUUAUUACUCAGAUCAAAAUAGAAACAACUAAUGGUAGUCACCUCCGCUACUGACUGCUGAAAAAAGAUCAAAGCUUUAUUAUUUUUUUUUUCUCUUUUCUUCUUUGUAUGACUGCGAAAGAUUUUUCAUUCUGUGUAUUAACUGAUAGUUCAACCGACUGCUUUAUAACUACGAUGUUAUCUUAUAUUUUCUUCUCUUCGUUUUUGUUCUCUGUUUCUUUUUGUGUGAAUCUAAUUGAUAAAAAUGUUCCUCUUGGACAUGUAAAUUGGUUUCUGACUGGUGCUUGAAGCCUUGAAGAUAUACCUCUCUCUAUGAAAAAUUACUCUUAUAAAAGGAUGAGAGCAGUUUUCUACUUUCAGAAAAUAAUCAUACCGUCGGAAGCUCGAUGGAGAGCUGGAAGAUGCAGAGCAAAAGGUCCCGGAAAUUAGGAAGACAGAUAACAACGUGUGUGAGUUGUCUAUGAUACAAGAACCGGCAACUAAUGGGGUAAAGAGAAUGAUGGAAACCAUGGAGAUUCUAAUGACGCUGGAAAGAAGCUAUGAGUUGAUAACAUCAAUGCCGACAGUGGUUUUCCUGAGGCAGAGUAUCCUGGUGACGAUAUUCCUGGAGCUGUUACAACAAAGCUCUCUCAAGGUGUGACCAGGGAAGCCCCAGAAACAAGCAUUGGGGAUGGUAGAAGGAACUACAACCGCCACAGCUGUCUUACCUCCUUAACCUGUUCCAAGUGGAUUCACUGCUGAGAGGUCACCGCUGCAGGAAGACACGUUGCUGCUGUUUUUUUCUCCUUUUUCUUUCCUUUCUCACUGUGAAAUAUUGAUUUAAAUGUUUACAAAUUGAACUCCCUCCAGAAUAAAAUUAGACUCAUGUACGUGAUCGAUGUACAGUCCCAGACUGUUGAAGCAUUAUUCAGCCAAGAAACAAGAAUCGCGUGUUAGUUUUAUCAGCAU